rnacentral:RNase_P_RNA from 1 species
UCAGGAGGGACGACGGCCGCUGCCGGCGCUUCGCCGCCGGCAGAGGAAAGUCCGGGCUCCGCAGGGCAGGGCGCUCUUCGUCAAGGAGAGGAUCUCCCCCCCGUCUCGGGGGAGAGACGGCCAGUGCCACAGAAAACACACCGCCGCACGCGGUUCCGAUGCUGACCCGCUCCGCCGUCAAGGCGGGAGACGGCGGGCCGGCCCGGGGUGACGCCGCGGGCGGCAAGGGUGAAAAGGUGCGGUAAGAGCGCACCGCGCGGGCGGCGACGCCCGUGGCCAGGUAAACCCCGCUCGGAGCAAGACCAAAUAGGAGGGGAGAGGUGGCCCGCCUCGCUAUCACCCUCGGGUAGGUCGCCCAGAGAGAUGGCCGUCCGCCGCGCGGUGCGCGGUGACAGAACCCGGCUUACGUCCCUCCAGAUAUU